AUAAUCCAGGAGAGAGACGCUGAUGACUCCUUUUGUGAUAAGAGAGAAUAUCCUAUAGGGUGAAGAGCAAAACAACACAUAAAACACCUUGAAAAGGAUGGAGAAGAAGAGAGUCUCCAUUCUUCAUCUGGAAGAGCAACGGAAGGAAAGCUGGAGUUUGUGAGGUGCCUACACUAUGCCAGAGAGAGACAGCCAGCGAGAGAGGGAACAC